rnacentral:rRNA from 1 species
UACGUAGGGACCGAGCGUUGUCCGGAAUCAUUGGGCGUAAAGAGCGUGUAGGCGGCCACUUAAGUCCUGCGUGAAAUCUUGCGGCUCAACCGCAAGCGGUCGUGGGAAACUGGGUGGCUAGAGUGCGGGAGAGGAGAGUGGAAUUCCUGGUGUAGCGGUGGAAUGCGCAGAUAUCAGGAAGAACACCCGUGGCGAAGGCGGCUCUCUGGAACGCAACUGACGCUGAGACGCGAAAGCGCGGGGAGCAAACAGG